rnacentral:rRNA from 1 species
GCUUGUCUCAAAGAUUAAGCCAUGCAUGUCUAAGUAUAAACGACUUUAUACAGUGAAACUGCGAAUGGCUCAUUAAAUCAGUUAUAGUUUAUUUGAUAAUACCUUACUACUUGGAUAACCGUGGUAAUUCUAGAGCUAAUACAUGCUACACAACCCGACUUCUGGAAGGGUGGUACUGAUUAGAUACAAAACCAAUGCGGAGCAAUCCGGUUUGUGGUGAUUCAUAAUAACUUUGCGAAUCGCAUGGCCUUGCGCCGGCGAUGAAUCAUUCAAAUUUCUGCCCUAUCAACUUUCGAUGGUAAGGUAUUGGCCUACCAUGGUUACAACGGGUAACGGGGAAUUAGGGUUCGGUUCCGGAGAGGGCGCCUGAGAAAUGGCGACCACAUCCAAGGAAGGCAGCAGG